CCUCAAGUGAUCCUCCUGUCUCUGUCUCCCAAAGUGCUGGAUUACAGAGACAGGGUCUCACUCUGUUGCCCAGGCUGAAGUGCAGCAGAGCUACCAUGACUCGCUACGACCUUGACCUCCUGGGCUGAAGCAAUCCUCCCACCUCAGCCUCCCAAAUAGGAUGCUUUGACAUCUUGGGGCCCUGUGGACCCAGGAAGGGACUGCCCUUCCCAGGGUUGGCUAUUUCCUACAGGCAGCAAACAACUUGCCUGCAAGAUGCCUUCGAUAUGCAAACCAACUCAUCCCAAGUCCGUUCCCCAAACUGGCUCCUUUCAUCAGGCUUAGGAAACCCUAGACAUCAUCCUCCUGCCCAAAGUCACCCUAGGGCCAGAUACCAUUCAACUAGGGACCGCCCUGAUAGCGCAGAGCCUGCUGAAGUUAUUUAGCCUAUCCAAUCUUAAACUUGCUCAGCGGCUUGCCCUGCCUCACCCGUUCCUUCCCUUGAGAACCACAAAUGAAGAAAAAACUUGGCCCAUGCUUUUCCCUCACUCUUGCCUCCUGACCCGACCUGGUGCCUCCCUGUGUGGCUCUGAAUGGUGUGACAUGGUAUGUCCCCUUCUCUUGGGAACCGUAAGUAACAAACGAUCUUUUCAGUGGUGGUCAUCUCCUAAUCUGCUGGCAUUACCAUAUGAUAUUGUUUGAAUAUUUGUCCCCUUCAAAUCUCCUGUUGAAAUGUAAUCCCCAGGGUUGGAGGUGGAGCCUGGUGGAGGUGUUUGCUCAUGAGGGUGGACCCUUCAUGAAUGGCUUAGUGCCAUCCCCUUGGUGACUAGUGAGUUCUAGCUCUGAAUUUAUGUGAGAUCUGGUUGUUUAAAACAGUGUGGUACCUCCCCACUCGCUCUCUUGCUGCUGCUCUCACCCUGUGAGAUGCCUGCUCUCUCUUCACCUUCUGCCAUGAGUGGAAGCUUCCUGAGGCCAUCACCAGAAGCAGGCACUAUGCACCAUGAUACCAUGAUUCCUGUACUGUCUGCAGAACCGUGAGCCAAUGAAACCUCUUUUCUUUAUAAUUUACCCAGCACAGGUGUUUUUUUUGUUUUGUUUUGUUUUGUUUUGUUUUUUUAUAGUAAUACAAGAACAGCCUAACACAUCAUCCCUGAAUAAGAACAACCUCUUGGGUAUGUUUUUAAAAAUCCCAGCAUCUGGCACAGUACCUGUUACAUAGAAGGCAAGUGAUAAAUACUUGCUGAAUUAAAUAUAUGAAUAAAUGGAUGGAUGGAUGGAUGGACAGAUGGACAGAUGGAUGGACAGAUGGGUGGGUGGAUGGAUGGAUGGAUGAGAAGGCCCUUGAGAGUUUAGAGGGGGCAUGGUAUGAAGUUAUAUGCCUGAUCCAGCCCUGGGUGAUGGAUGCCUAGACCUGUCCGCCCAUGUUUCUUCCUCUGUCUUAGGAACCACAGGCAAUUACAGUGGGAUAACCAAAUGGAAAGGCCAGGUGACUCCCUGAAAAACAGCAAUCAGACCAAGACCUGCAGAAGAAAGGGUGUGGAUUCAGUGUCCCAGCUCUUGAGGGCACUGUGUUUAUAGGUGGAAAUGAUGAAUGGAUGUGCACUGACAUUUAUGUCACUGUGCUGGGACUUGCUCUCUCUUCUGCUCACAGUCUCUCUAUAUAGGAUAAAAGAUUCUGAGCACCAAAGAAUUGUCCCAUCUAGUCAAACUGGGGGAAACUGACAAACUCCAUCUUGGUUCAUUAGACCCAUGGAUGAAUUAUGGGAUGUAGAGGGAAACCGUGCCUGGUGCACACUUAAUGAACCCAGGGGCUCCAGUGAUGGAUGGAUGGAUGGAAGUGAACAUUCAUCUACUCUCACUUGCUCCGAUGAUGUCAUUUUUAACCAACAGUGAACUUCACCCAGAAACCAACCCGGACACAGAGCAGAGAUAAGGCGGGUGAGAGUGCCUCAGGAGGAAUGUUAACCAGAUUCCAGAAGCCUGCCAGUCAGUCCUGCUAACGUUAUUCCACAGAAGCAAGGACUUGGUCUUCUUCAUUCACUGCUGCAUCCACAGUGCUCAGGACAGCGCCUGUGCAGGAACCCCUCCUGAAUGACUGGCAUUUGCACACAGCCUUCUCCACUGCACCACGUGGAUACAAGCAGUGUAGGGGAUGCAGCGUCCAUCUGCCCCUUGCUGCUCCUGUCGCAGCCUUCUGCCUUCAGGACCCACCAUUUAAGCCUUUUCUUCCUUCUCUACCUCUCCACUGCCUCAAUCCAGAGAAACUUUAUCCAGCCUGGGGCAGGGCUGUCUGGCUCUGACUGAUCACAUAUUCUCCUAAAUCUAUUAUUUAUGCCUAAACCGUAUGCCCUGAGUCUUUCAGGCCUGAGGCUUCUUAUGCUCAAAAGCCGGGCUUUGAAAUACAGAAAGCUUCUUCCCUCCUUAAAACUAUGGUCUCUGCUGUGAGUUUCCAGAAGCCUAUUUUGUAACACAGAAGUGAAAGCUUGAUUCCUUUUACUGUAUUUUGCAAUGUCAUCACUUCACUAAUGCGAGGCACGUGAAUGCCCCUGCGGCUGCCUAUACCAGAAGGCAGGCCAAGGGGUUAGUAAGUAGGGUGAGGUUCGUGGAUCAAAAUAUUAUCUGUCACAUACUCUGUAGUACAGGAACUCUCACUAAGUAUUGCAAGUGUAAAUGACCUUGGAAGCACUUUCUAGUUGGUGCCACAGCAUUGGCAAACAAAGCUAAAAAUAAUAAACCCAGUGUUGCUGGGGACGUGGGAAACACCAUGCAUUGGGGAUGCUGCACUCAUUUGCUCCGAUAUUUCUGGAAAGCAGUCUGGUAAUAGUGUAUCAAGAACUAUGAACAUUAUCCCCUGAUGAUGCAUUGGUAAUACCACUUUGGGAGAUCUAAUCCAUAAGCAUAAGCCAAAAGAAGCAAAAGAAAAACCAUAAUCUUGUUCAAAGAUGAUCAUGGCAUUAUUUAGAAACAAUGAAAAUAUCCCAGACAGGAAAGUGGUUAAGCACUAUGAUCUGUCAAGACAAUGGGAUAGUAGCUAAAUCUUUGGGCUUAGGGUAGGAUAACUGCUUUAACAAAUAACCACAAACCUUGGUGGCUUAGCACAAUAAAGUUUAUUUCUUACACACAUUGCAACCCAAUGUAGGUCAGUUGGGGAGACAGGUUUCCUUAUGCCAUCACUCAGGGACCUAGGCUUCUGUGUUUAUUGGCUCCACCAUUUCCUCCCUGUGUCUGAUAGAUCCAUGAGGGAAGAGAGUGAGAACAGAGGAUUGCAAGGGAGGUUUCACGAGCCAGAUUCAGAGGUCUGGAGGCAACAUUACUUCUACCCACAUUCUAGGAGCCAGAACGCAGUCACAUGGCCACAUCUAACUACAAGGGAGGCUGGGAAAUGUAGUCUUGCUAUAAGCCCGGGGUGAAAGGGGAAUUGUUGGAUGAACACAUAGCAGUGAUUGCCACACUGUCAACAAGUUACACAUGUUGACUAUGCUGACACUUGAGCACUUAAAUAUUAAAUCAUAUUAAAUAGACAAAGCAAAACACAGAAACACUAAUUAGGACUGAUUACUAAUAACUAUAUACUUGCAAUUAUGUAUACUGACCAACUCAGAAGUGAUUUUAAAGUAUUGUGGGCUUUGUAGUUGUAUGUUUUGUCCUUACCGUAAAAAGAAAAAUUCACAGGGCAGAUUAAACUGUGGUUAUGGAUUCAUGUGACCAAAUGUGGAAUUGCAUUAUGGUGUUUACCUUUUUGAAACUUUUUCAUUGAAAACAUAGAAGCUUGUUUGCAGCAACAUGGAUGAACCCGGAGGUCAUUGUGCUAAGUGAAAUAAGCCAGAUAUGGAAGGACAAAUACUGUAUGAUCUCACACAUAUGUGGAAUCUAAAAAAGUUGAACUCAUUGAGGUGGAGAGUAGAACAGCAGUUGCCAGGGGGUGGGGGCUGGAGAAAACAGGGAGACGUGCUCAAAGGGUUCAACGUUAGUUAUACGAUGACCAAGUGCUGAAAAUCUAAUGGACAGAUGGUAAUGGAUGUAUUAAUUAAUUUGAUUGUGGUUAUCAUUAUACAAUGUCUACAUAUAUCAAAUCAUCACAUUGUAGACCUUGAGUAUAUUCAA